UAGAAAAGUGAGUAUGAAUGUUCC
rnacentral:piRNA from 1 species